GUGCGGUUGUUGAAGUCGCGUUUGUGCAGUGCUGCUCUUUGUUUCAUCGAUUUAUCCAGGUUUUACACUCCGCGCUUUGUUGACGUGCGUGGUCUAAUCGUGUUGUGUACGUGAGUGGCGUGUAACUAGUGAUACAGCACGCAAGGACAGUCAUUAACGUGCGCGAUCCGCCGCAAAUCAGCCACGAGGCAUUGCAACGGGCACGUCCAGUGGGCUGCGCGGCCGUUGCGACGAGCUGCAUUGCUGAUUCUUCGCUUGAGACUGGCAAUUGUCGAGCGGGUUGCAUUCGUUGUUACGUUGCCCGAAGACAGUAGUAAAUGUGAUUUGCAGGGUGCAAGAAACGUGUCAUUGUGGUUAGAAAAAAUGAAUCAGUAUACAUGUGAUUUAACUGUCAAAGCCGGAAUGUUUAAAGCACACAUCCCGCCCGAGACAUGCUGGGAUGAUCUCCUAUCAGGCAGCUUGGAAACUUCCAGACGCCGAUAUGCCUUACGUUUGGUGCAGCCGAGGUUAUGAACUGUCAAGUGGAAUAUGCCCCUUGAGGAAAACAAUUAGGAUCGACUGUCCAGCGAGCAGAUUGCGGAAUCAGCAACUGACAUAUUGACUGUUGAAACAUGAUGGUGCGUGCAGCAAGAGAGGGUUUGACUGCAGAUCCUCACCACCUGCUCCUGUAAAUUUGUACGAACCACAGGCGAAAACAAGAAGAAACGCUUUGAAUACCUGCGGUCUUCUAUCAGCGAGACAAGUCCCUGAAGCUAUAAAUCAAUAAAAUUUGAUGUAUUCUGCUUUGGAGGUAUAAAGCAAUGAAAUGAAUUCUUUUCGAAUGGUGCAUGUUUUUUUUUUCUUCAGAAAAUUUCUUGUGAGCACGCACAACCCGAGCAACAAAAGUAAAGGACUGACAAUCACCCUC